rnacentral:lncRNA from 1 species
GGUUUUAUUUUGUUUUCUCCUUCUUUUUGUGUGGAGCCGAGGAAAGGGCAAACACAAAAACAGCAUUGACCUUGAGUAUGUGCCCCGAAAAAACAAUGGUGCUGUUGCAGAAGGGGAGGUGGCUGGACCCAGGAGGUUCAACAUGAAAAUGAUAUAAGGGCCCACCACACACACACUACUACUGUCUCUGUGUUACUGUUGGUAAUGAGUAAGACGUCUGAUAUAGCGAGUCCAUCACAAGGUGAUCAGGCAGCUUCACACAGCUGCCCCUGUGUCAAAGCAGGGUCCAUGGAAGCUGGAAGACUUCUCAUGGACACUGGCUGAUUAGAGGCAGGCAGGCAUGUGUCAGAGCCCUUCACACAGUGGGAUACUAAUUGUUUGCAUUGCAAAUAUUGGCAUUCUGGGGAUCUCAGUAAUGACCCUGAACCUUUGGCUCAUGCUGACGGACAAAAAUUCAACAUUUUCUACCACUGCAAAACUAAAAGAAAAAAAAUUUAAAAGGAACAACCUACAGUGUAGGAUUUACAUAUUAAAAAAAGACACAUUUGUCUAAAACAUACUCUACGGUAAAAUUUGUAUUUAUUAUCAUUUGUUAAAACCUUGCAUCAUACAAUACUGUUGGUUCAGCACCAAAAAAAAAAAAAAAAAAAAAAAGAGAGAUCAAUAUAUUCUUUUUUGAAACAUAUAUGCUGUAUAUGUUUUAAAGCAAUAUGAAUGAGAGGUUGUGCUUUUAGUUACUCACCAGUAUAGAUCCAAGUGUGGUCUCACUUUCCUUUUAUCCGCAGAGAAACCUGAGAAUAGAUCCCUGGAAUAAUAGGCUGAGAUGUGUUGAGAUGUGUAUGUCUGAUGUAGGAUGCCAAGAUACAAGAGCCCAGUCAAAACUGCUCAACUCUGUUAACUUCUGUUACUAUAAAUAAAGGCAUGUGCCUAGUUUUGAUACAGAAUGGAA